rnacentral:rRNA from 1 species
GAGUUUGAUCGUGGCUCAGGACGAACGCUGGCGGCGUGCCUAACACAUGCAAGUCGAACGGAGUUGAAAGGAGCUUGCUUUUUUCAACUUAGUGGCGGACGGGUGAGUAACGCGUGAGUAACCUGCCUUUCAGAGGGGGAUAACGUUCUGAAAAGAACGCUAAUACCGCAUAAGAUUGUAGUUUCGCAUGGGACAGCAAUCAAAGGAGCAAUCCGCUGAAAGAUGGACUCGCGUCCGAUUAGAUAGUUGGCGGGGUAACGGCCCACCAAGUCGACGAUCGGUAGCCGGACUGAGAGGUUGAUCGGCCACAUUGGGACUGAGACACGGCCCAGACUCCUACGGGAGGCAGCAGUGAGGGAUAUUGGGCAAUGGGGGGAAACCCUGACCCAGCAACGCCGCGUGAGGGAUGAC